rnacentral:rRNA from 1 species
UGGGGAAUUUUGGACAAUGGGCGCAAGCCUGAUCCAGCAAUGCCGCGUGCAGGAUGAAGGCCUUCGGGUUGUAAACUUCUUUUGUAUAGGGAUAAACCUUUCCACGUGUGGAAAGCUGAAGGUACUAUACGAAUAAGCACCGGCUAACUACGUGCCAGCAGCCGCGGUAAUACGUAGGGUGCGAGCGUUAAUCGGAAUUACUGGGCGUAAAGCGUGCGCAGGCGGUUAUAUAAGACAGAUGUGAAAUCCCCGGGCUCAACCUGGGACCUGCAUUUGUGACUGUAUAGCUAGAGUACGGUAGAGGGGGAUGGAAUUCCGCGUGUAGCAGUGAAAUGCGUAGAUAUGCGGAGGAACACCUAUGGCGAAGGCAAUCCCCUGGACCUGUACUGACGCUCAUGCACGAAAGCGUGGGGAGCAAACA